AAAUCUGCCAAGAGCUGUGGUGUGUCAAUGAGUCCAACGAAUGCGUCACCAACAGCAUCCCUGCAGCGGAAGGCACCAUUUGUCAACUCUCGUACUUGAAGAAAACUGCAAAGGGAGACCAUUCAGAUAAAGGGUGGUGUUACCAAGGGGAGUGCAGAGGCGAGCAACACAGGAACCAAACAGUUCACGGAAGUUGGGGAGAAUGGGGUGAAUGGGGGGACUGUACUCGGACCUGCGAGGGCGGCGUCUCGGUCAGUGAGAGAGAGUGUGACAACCCCGCACCCAAAGACGGAGGGAAGUACUGUACAGGGGUUAGAAAAAAAUAUCGAUCUUGCAAUGUUACA
rnacentral:sRNA from 1 species